rnacentral:rRNA from 1 species
GCCCUUGGUUGAUCCUGCCGGAGGCCAUUGCUAUUGGGAUCCGACUAAGCCAUGCGAGUCGAGAGUCGUAAGGACUCGGCGAACUGCUCAGUAACACGUGGCCAAACUACCCUGUGGAGGGGGAUAACCUCGGGAAACUGAGGAUAAGACCCCAUAGGUGCCCGAUGCUGGAAUGCCCGGGCACCCAAAUGCUCCGGCGCCACAGGACGUGGCUGCGGCCGAUUAGGUUGACGGUGGGGUAACGGCCCACCGUGCCCAUAAUCGGUACGGGUUGUGAGAGCAAGAGCCCGGAGAUGGACUCUGAGACACGAGUCCAGGCCCUACGGGGCGCAGCAGGCGCGAAACCUUUACACUGUACGAGAGUGCGAUAAGGGGAUCCCAAGUGCCCGCGCCUAGCGUGGGCUUUUCUGAACCGUAAAAUGGUUCAGGAAUAAGGGCUGGGAAAGACCGGUGCCAGCCGCCGCGGUAACACCGGCAGCUCGAGUGAUGGCCGAUUUUAUUGGGCCUAAAGCGUCCGUAGCCUGCCGUACGGGUCCGUCGGGAAAUCCGCCCGCUCAACGGGCGGACGUCCGGCGGAAACCAUACGGCUUGGGACCAGAGGACCCGAGGGGUACGUCGGGGGUAGGAGUGAAAUCCCGAGAUCCUCGACGGACCGCCGGUGGCGAAAGCGCCUCGGGAAGAUGGAUCCGACGGUCAGGGACGAAAGCUUGGGUCUCGAACCGGAUUAGAUACCCGGGUAGUCCAAGCUGUAAACGAUGCUCGCUAGGUGUGGCGUA